UCACUUUUCGUGUUCGAUGUUUGAACUUGGAUUUUUAAAAUAUGAAAAGAAAUCUGUUCAUUCCUCGACACUAAGAGUUU
rfam:Drosophila mojavensis strain TSC#15081-1352.22 Ctg01_8236, whole genome shotgun sequence.